GAAAGAAUAGGCUUUGAGGUCUCAGAAGCUCAAGCAAGGCCUAGUGGCUCUGUCUCUUGCUGCUGCCUUUGGGUCAAGAUGUAGAACUUCCAGUUCCUUCUUCAGCACCAUGUCUGCCUGUGUGCUGCCAUGUUUCUCACCAAGACAACAAUGGAGUAAGCCUCUGAACCGGAAGCCAGCCCCAAUUCAGUGCUUUCCUUUAGAAGAGUUGCGGUGAUCAUGGUAUCUCUUCACGUGAUAAAACCUUAACUAAGACAUUCACUCUGUGCUGCUUUGUCCUAGCAGCUCUGGCAGAAGUGACACUACUCAAGAGUGCCGUGGUAAAGACAAAAAAAGCGCAAGAUGAGACCUGUCUGGCCAUGUUCUUCCUGUGUCUACACGGCCGUUGUCUAACAGCUGCCUGCCGUCCUAGCCUCCACAACCAGCGGGCACUCGGAAAGGAAGGAUGUUAAAGCCCUUUGCUCAGAGCUAUUGAGUAUCAGCCCUGCCUCCAGCUGAUGAUAAUGCCCUAGUGGUGGUCCUAAAUUGGUCGCUGCCCUAAAUCCAGCCCGCCUGCUCUCUUAUAGAACCCAAGACUACCAGCCACAGAGAUGGCACCACCCACAAGGUCACUAAUUGAGAAAAUGCCCCACAGCUGGAUCUCAUGGAGACACUUCCCCAACUGAAGCUCCUUUCUCUGUGAUAACUCCAGCCUGUGUCAAGUUGAUACACAAAACCAGUCAGUGCAGUUGCUAUAGGUCCUCUUGAGAACCUGCUCAGUUUCUCUGAAGCCCCAGCCUUCAUUGCAGCCAUGCAACGGGUGUGGUAUGCCUGCCACUGGAUUCCCAGCCCCUCGUGGAGAAUGUGCGAGUCUUUUACAUUGUCCCGCCCCCAGCAUAACUCUGGAUGACACUCUGGUCUUCUCAAGAUGGGGUUCUGCUGGUGUGUGCCAUUCUGUAGUGGUGCAGAGGUCUCGCCUAAGAAACUGUUACCCUACCAUCAUGAUACUGAGCCUGUGUCUGGCCUCUCCUCAGCUUCCACACUGCUUUGGCCCUGGACGUCUUUACUGAGUUCCUAGCUGUUGUGGUGUGCAGUUUUAGAAGUGUCUACCUUGACACAACCUUGGAAUAACUUUGUAAGCUUUUGUUCAUGAAAGUCAGUAGGAGUGUCUGUACGCUUCAGAUGGGGAGGGACUAAAGCUCCUCUACAUUUUCUUUUAUAAUAGCUUUAUUGAGAUAUAAUCCAUAUGUCAUACAUAUCACUCAUGUGGAAUGUAAUUGACUUACACAGUUGUGCAACUGUCACCAUGAUCAAAUCUAGAACAGUCCCACGCCACCUUUCCCCCAAAUAUUUUCUAGCAAUUGACUGUCAUGAGAAUUUUGGUUUCUUUAAAAAUCCAGUUGUGGAGGCUGGAAAGAUGGCUCAGUGGUUCAGAGCACUGACUGCUCUUCCAGAGGUCCUGAAUUCAAUUCCCAGCAACCACAUGGUGGCUCACAACCAUCUGUAAUGGGAUGCCCUGUUUUGGUGUGUCUAAAGGGAGUUGUAGUGUAUUCAUAUAAAUAAAUCUUUUAUAAAAACUUCA